rnacentral:lncRNA from 1 species
AAUUAUAUUGACGAAAUAUUUUUAUAUUUAACACUUUUUCGAUUUUUUGUAGGUCAUGAUAUGAACUUGAAUUAAAUAAAAGAAAAUUAAUAAUACUACUUUUUUUCAUAUCUGGACUUGAGACUUUUUGUAGGCUCAUAAUUUGAAUUGGAAUUAAAUGGUAGAAAAUUAAUAAAUAUUAGGAGUCUGACAUGACUCAAACUCAAAACUUUCUACUCUAAUACUAUGUGAAACAACCGUUGUACUAUAAAACUUAAGCUUAUAGAAAACGAUAUUUAAUAUUUUUAUAUUUAAUAAUACUCAAAUCCUUCUAUAAUUAAAGUUAAGAUAUAGCUCUAAACCUAAACCAAAUAGAAAUAACCAAAUAAUCGAACUCAAAAUAGAAAAAAUAUAAAAUUUUUCAAAAAUAAUCUAAAAAAUGCAAACUAAACAGUUGAAUUUGGACCCAAACUUGGCAAGAACGGCUUUUUCAUUUGACGCGU